ACAGGGAUCCCCUAGUACGGCGAGUGAAGCGGGAACAGCUCAAAUUUGAAAUCUGGCCCUCGGGUCCGAGUUGUAAUUUGUAGAGGAUGCUUUUGGUGCGGUGCCUUCCGAGUUCCCUGGAACGGGACGCCUUAGAGGGUGAGAGCCCCGUACGGUUGGACGCCUAGCCUCUGUAAAGCUCCUUCGACGAGUCGAGUAGUUUGGGAAUGCUGCUCUAAAUGGGAGGUAUAUUUCUUCUAAAGCUAAAUACUGGCCAGAGACCGAUAGCGCACAAGUAGAGUGAUCGAAAGAUGAAAAGCACUUUGAAAAGAGGGUUAAAUAGCACGUGAAAUUGUUGAAAGGGAAGCGUUUAUCACCAGACUUUUUCUAGGGGGAUCAUCCGGUGUUCUCACCGGUGCACUUCCCCUAGUUGAGGCCAGCAUCGGUUUUCGGAGGGGGAUAAAAGUUUCGGGAAUGUGACUCCCCCGGGAGUGUUAUAGCCCGUUACAUAAUACCCUUCUGGGGACCGAGGUUCGCGCAUCUGCAAGGAUGCUGGCAUAAUGGUGAUCAACGACCCGUCUUGAAACACGGACCAAGGAGUCGAACAUUUAUGCGAGUGUUUGGGUGUCAAACCCUCACGCGUAAUGAAAGUGAACGGAGGUGAGAGCCCUUACGGGUGCAUCAUCGACCGAUCCUGAUGUCUUCGGAUGGAUUUGAGUAAGAGCAUAACUGUUCGGACCCGAAAGAUGGUGAACUAUGCGUGGAUAGGGUGAAGCCAGGAGAAAUCCUGGUGGAGGCUCGCAGCGGUUCUGACGUGCAAAUCGAUCGUCAAAUCUGCGCAUGGGGGCGAAAGACUAAUCGA
rnacentral:rRNA from 1 species